GGGCCCGCACAAGCAGUGGAGUAUGUGGUUUAAUUCGAAGCAACGCGAAGAACCUUACCAGGGCUUGACAUGGAGACGACCGCGCUGGAGACAGCGCUUCCCUUCGGGGCGUCUCACACAGGUGGUGCAUGGUUGUCGUCAGCUCGUGUCGUGAGAUGUUGGGUUAAGUCCCGCAACGAGCGCAACCCUUAUGGUUAGUUGAUACGAAAGAUCACUCUAGCCAGACUGCCGUUGACAAAACGGAGGAAGGCGGGGACGACGUCAAAUCAUCAUGCCCCUUAUGUCCUGGGCUACACACGUACUACAAUGGCGGCCAUACAGAGGGAAGCAAGGGAGCGAUCCGGAGCGAACCCCUAAAAGCCGCCUCAGUUCAGAUCGCAGGCUGCAACCCGCCUGCGUGAAGUCGGAAUUGCUAGUAAUCGCGGAUCAGCAUGCCGCGGUGAAUACGUUCCCGGGCCUU
rnacentral:rRNA from 1 species